rnacentral:rRNA from 1 species
AUGUCCUCCUCCUCCACAGUCACCUCCUCUGGCCUCAACUACAACACAUCAGAACCCCUUAGCCGGACGAACUAUAUUCUCUGGCGAGCCCAAGCACGAUCCCGGAUAUUUUGCGCCGGCUUGUUUGGCUAUAUAGACUAGACUAUAGAGGAGCCUCCAAAAACAAUCAUUAGCAAAGAUAAAGAUGGCAAGGAUCAGGUAGUUUCCAACCCGUCUCAUAAUGCCUGGCUAGUUCAAGAUCAG